UACGUAGGGCGCAAGCGUUGUCCGGAAUUAUUGGGCGUAAAGAGCUCGUAGGCGGCCUGUUACGUCUGCUGUGAAAUCCCGGGGCUUAACCCCGGGCGUGCAGUGGAUACGGGCAGGCUGGAGGCAGGCAGGGGAGAACGGAAUUCCCGGUGUAGCGGUGAAAUGCGUAGAGAUCGGGAGGAACACCUGUGGCGAAGGCGGCCCCCUGGGCCGGCCCUGACACUGAGACGCGAAGGCGUGGGGAGCGAACGGG
rnacentral:rRNA from 1 species